GCCCUCCGCCGCGGCGCCGCAGCCGGCCAAAGCCUCCGCUGCCCCGCCGCCGGUACAGUAGCCCAUCAACGCCUCCCUCCGUCGAGCAGCCGCUCCAAACCCAGCAACGCUGCCGCUCGGAGCUACGCGGCCGACCGGUCCAUAGGCAGACGAAUACUGCAUUUCCUAGAUGAAGCACAUCUUCAAGAUCAUCGUGGUGCUGGCGGCGAUCUCGACCAUCUGGGUUGCGCUCCUUGAAACCUCGACUGUUCCUCGCAGUUAUACUUGGCUGGUGACUGCCAUCAAUUCUUUCACUUGCUAAUGUAUUGAUGUUAAGACACUGUCUUUCGAUUAAGAUGCUUGCUUGUGACUUCUGUUGUAGCUUUCAAUCUAGUACUACUUGAUAGUGGCGCUUGGAUGCUACGGCCUUUUUAUGGUUAGGUAUGGGCUCAUGUUCUUUCCCGCUUGUCCUCAAGAAGCCAUACUACUACAAGUCUACAACAGGAUAUUGUGGAGGCAAAGGAAUUCUUAUCCAAAAGGGGUGUUGAUGUGGGCUCCAAUUGAGGUGGAUUCCAAUGUUUUAUGUUUUAUGACCACUUUGAAGCUUCCUGGUUACCAUAGCGAGAAAUGGUUAUGAUGUUUCAUCAUGUCUAUAUAUUGCUACUAACACAAUUUUGGUGAGUGGCUUGUUACAAUUCUACAAUUGAGGUGGAUGGCUUGUCAUGA